rnacentral:rRNA from 1 species
GGCGGCGUGCUUAACACAUGCAAGUCGAACGAAGCUGCUUAAAGGAAGUUUUCGGAUGGAAUUUAGGUAGACUUAGUGGCGGACGGGUGAGUAACGCGUGGAUAACCUGCCUUAUACAGGGGGAUAACGGAGAGAAAUUUCCGCUAACACCGCAUAAGACCACAGCACCGCAUGGUGCAGGGGUAAAAUAUUUAUAGGUAUAAGAUGGAUCCGCGUCCGAUUAGCUAGUUGGUGAGGUAGAGGCUCACCAAGGCGACGAUCGGUAGCCGGCCUGAGAGGGUGAACGGCCACAUUGGGACUGAGACACGGCCCAAACUCCUACGGGAGGCAGCAGUGGGGAAUAUUGGACAAUGGGGGAAACCCUGAUCCAGCGACGCCGCGUGAGUGAAGAAGUAUUUCGGUAUGUAAAGCUCUAUCAGCAGGGAAGAAAAUGACG